rnacentral:rRNA from 1 species
UACGUAGGGUGCAAGCGUUAUCCGGAAUCAUUGGGCGUAAAGCGUUGGUAGGUGGUGACGUAAGUUUGUAGUUAAAUCCGGUCGCUCAACGAUCGGCAUGCUGCGAAAACUGCGUCGCUAGAGAUUGGCAGAGGCAACUGGAAUUCCACAUGUAGGGGUAAAAUCCGUAGAUAUGUGGAGGAACACCAAAAGCGAAGGCAGGUUGCUGGGCCAUUUCUGACACUGAGCAACGAAAGCGUGGGGAGCAAACAGG